rnacentral:lncRNA from 1 species
UUUUGGCAGCCACCUAUCCAUCCUUCUCAAUUUCCGCGCCCCUAAUCAUCAGCCGCCAGCACCCUCUUCGUGUUCCGCGCCGGCCACCUCCCCGCCGCCACUUCGCGCCGUCCGAGUGGCCGCACCACCACCCAGCACCGCUCCUACCCACUCAAAGGCUGCCACGUUGCCCCGCAUCCCCAUCUCCAUCGCGCGGCCCGUCGGUGGCCGGAUCUGGCCCAUCGGGCCCAAGCAAGCCCAAACCGCGCCGCCGUGCCUCCCGAGCACCCGUAGUUGCAGGAGCCUGGCUCCCCUCGAGCUCCCUCAUCACUGACCCUUAUGCAAUGCAUCCCGCCAUCGUUCGCUCCUCCGGCGGGUUACAGAAGCUGGCCCUCGCCAGAGACCGUGACCACUGCCUCUGUUAGGUCACCGCCUCCCCGUCGCCCUGUCCUUCUCCUCUCUAUCUUUCAGACCUCACAUCUCUCUCCUCCUCUCCAGCAGAGCAGCCAUGGCCAUGGAAGCCGGGCUACCGCCGUCGAGCUUGUCGUCUGUACCCUCGCCCGCGCCAUCCGCUGUCGGUUCCGGAUGUACCGGAUCCAUCCCCUGCUGCCUCGUCGUUCCUAACCUUCCCACGCCUCACUGGUUGCUGCUGCGCCGCCGUUCUCCUGGAUCGAGUGGGCAAACGCCCGAUCCGCCCCCUUUGCUCAAUAUACGCAGAUGUGUCGGCGCCUCCAAGGCCCAUCUUCCCCCACUCCACCAGUUCCGGCCUGUUAGGCCCAGUGGUGAGCAGCCCACCUGCCUAUGUUGUCUGCCGCCCGCGCGUGCAACUUAUUAUCCCACGCUCAGUAGUUUUAGCCCGUGUAAUGUUUUCUCCCUGUUCUGGAAAUUUAGCUAUUUUCCAGGAACUGCAGUUUUUACAGAUUGCACCCUCAUACAUUUAAUAUCUCCCAAACUAUGCAUAAUAUGUAAAAACUUCAUAUAUGAAAAAUGUUUAAAUUCAUGUUUGCAUUGAAUUUGCAUAAUGGCAUGCUAAAAUGAUUUAAUUCAUAACUAAUUAAUCGUAGCUCGCUUUUAAAUAAACUUUAUAUGUAAAUGGGGUAGAAAAAUGCCUAGUUUAACAUGGUGCACUCAUCUUCCAUGUUUAACAACUCUAAAAUAUGGUUUAGGGAAGAACAUUACCAAAUUCAUAAAAUGCAUAUGGGGAUUUUCCGGAAUUGUUGCUUGUAGUUUCUGGCCUCAUUUAAACUUGCCUAAAUAGUUAGUUUACUUAUGUUUCACCUCUUGCCAUGUUUAACAACAUUUAAUAUUGUUGGGUACAUAAACGGGAGUGAACUAAAUAAAUGAAUGUGGUAUUUCAUCGACAUGCAACUCAUUGCAUAUUGAGCUCCACUUAACUUGUAGUGUUGUUUGUUGCAUUUUGCCAUGCCAUGCCUCAUUAAACUGGACAUGCAUCAUCCUUGAUUGUGCAUCAUGCCAUGCUUAUGCUUGUUGGUUUACCAUGAUGCUUGCUUCUUUCCGGUUGUCUUCUCUCGUUAGCUUCGGUUUCGUUCCGGAGUUGUGAGGAUUCGUUCGACUACGUCUGUUUGUCUUCUUCAUGGACUCGUUCUUCUUCCUUGCGGGAUUUCAGGCAAGAUGACCAUUACCCUCGAUAUCACUUCUAUCUUUGCUCACUAGUUGUUCGUUCCAUCGCUAUGUCAUGCUACCUACCAAUUGUUAUAUCAUGCCUCCUAUAUUGCCAUGUCAAGCCUCUAACCCACCUUCCCGGUAAACCGUUGUUUGGCUAAGUUAACUCUUUUGCUCAACCCCUCUUAUAGUGUUGCUAGUUGCAGGUACCUUGCAGGUUGUUCCAUGUUGGAACAUGGAUAUGUUGGGAUAUCACAAUAUCUCUUAUUUAAAUAAUGCAUCUAUAUACUUGGCAAAGGGUGGAAGGCUUGGCCUUUUGCUUGGUGUUUUGUUCCACUCUUGCCGCCCUAGUUUCCGUCAUACCGGUGUUAUUGAUUUUGCGUUCCUUACGCGGUUGGGGUUAUGGGACCUCCUUGACAGUUCACUUUGAAUAAAACUCCUCUAGCAAGGCCCAACCUUGGUUUGACAUUUGCCUAACAACCUAUAACUUUCCCUUGGGGUCGCGAACCUGAUGGUCUCCUUUAUUUUAACCCCCCUGGGCCAGUGCUCCUCUAAGUGUUGGUCUGAACUGGGCAACCUACGGGGCCACCUCGGGGAAACUCGAGGUUUGGUUUUACUCAUAGUUUGACCUAUCCGGUGUGCCCUGAGAACGAGAUUUGUGCAGCUCCUAUCGGGAUUUGUCGGCACAGUCAGGCGGUCUUGCUGGUCUUGUUUUACCAUUGUUGAAAUGCCUUAUAAUUGUGAUUCCGAGACUGAUCGGGUCUUUCAUGGAGAAGGAAUAUCCUUCAUUGAUCGUGAGAGCUUGUGAUGGGCUAUGUUGGGACACCCGUGAAGGGUAUAAACUUUCAAGAGUCAUGCCCGCGGUUAUGUAGCAGAUGGGAAUUUGUAGAACUUGACACUUGACUUAAUUAAAAUGAAUCAACCGCGUGUGUAGCCGUGAUGGUCACUUUUCGGCGGACUCCGGGAAGUGAACACAGUUUUGAGUUAUGUUUGAACGUAAGCAGUUUCAAGAUCACUUCUUGAUCACUUCUAGCUUCAUGACCGUUGCGUAGCUUCUCAUCUUACUCUUGUUUGCAUAUGUUAGACACCAUAUUUGCUUAGCGCUUGCUGCAACUCCACCUCAUUACCUUAUCUUACACAUAAGCUUACAUACUCUUGAUCUCGUGGGUUUUGAGAUUGCUGAGUCCUCAUGACUCAUAGAUACUACCAAAACAGUUGCAGGUGCCUAUGAUACCAGUGCAGGUGAUGCUACCGAACUCAAGUGGGAGUUCGACAAGGACCUUGGUCGAAACAUUGUUUCGUUUCUUGAUGAUCAUUAGUGGAGCCCAGUUGGGACAAUCGAGGAUCUAGCAUUUGGGGUUAUCUUCUUUUCACUCGGAUUAGAUCGUAGUUGGUCUAUGUGUGUAUUUUCGAUGAUGUAUGAAAUAUGUAAGUAUUGUGUGAAGUGGUGAUUGUAAGCCAACUCUCUUUGUCCCUUUCUUGUUCAAUACAUGGGAUUGUGUGAAGAUGACCCUUCUUGCGACAAAACCACAAUGCGGUUAUGCCUCUAUGUCGUGCCUCGACACGUGGGAAAUAUAGACGUAUCGUAGGAUUACAAGUUGGUAAUCAGACUAUCCCCAACUUAGGAGCCCCGUGCUUGAUCGAAUCGCUGACGUUGUUGAGUCUAGAACAAAAUGUUUUGAGUCUUAGGAUUAUAUAUCGGAGAGUAGGAUCAUUUGUACUCCUCAGUCCCUUCGUCACUCUAGUGAGGCCUCCUGACGUAGAUGUUUUGACUUUCCUCUCCUCAAGUUUCACGAAUUUUUUUAGGAUCACGCGGGUAUCUUGGGGUUGUUCCGAUAUUCUUGUGAUAAGAACAUUGAUUUUGGUGCCUCCUGACAUUUUGGGGUUAUAGCAGUGUCCCGGGGAGUUGAGCUCCGAGGUGUUGGUGAGACAACCUCGAUGCCACCGAGUAUUGGGGCGGGAUUUCGGGAGUAUUGCCAUAGCUCAUAGAACGGAUGCUUUUCGAUGGUUGUGGUACAUGAUUUCCGGACUUUUCUUGGUUAUGUUUUGAUGGAUGGAUACAGUUGGAGCGCAGGGCUUGUUAGUUGUGCGAUAUAUAUUGUGCCUCCAUGUAUCCCCAACACCAGAUUGCAUAACGAGAAAGUUUCGAGAGUUAAUAGGUGGGAAUUCAAGUAUCUCGUAGGAUAUCUUUCCAACAGACACAUGAUAAGCUAUGGGGUCUGUCAUAUGUUUGUUUCCGGCUUAUUCUGCAAGCCAAUCCUUUGUUUUCUUUUGAGUUGUGGUAUUUGAGUUGCUUCGAUGUGAAAUGUGGAUUCCAUACCUUUUCCUAAGCGGUGUUCUCAUAUUUCUAUGUGAAUACUAAUCCUUCAUGAUAAUCGAGAUUGUCAUAUCAAUCCUUUUCAACCGGUGUGCUUCUGUUCAAGUUAAUCAUAUCCUUUCAAUUUCUCCUAGAUCAAUUAUCAGUUCUUCUCCAUGGUGUUCACUCCGUUCGUCCCAAGUUAUCUAUAUUGUUCCCCACCCGCCCACCCCUUUUUCUUCAUGGAGUUCGAAGCCGUAAUCAAGUAUCCAUUUUUAUUGAUGUGAAGUCUCUCCAUUCUUUUCCGUCAAUGUUCUUAUCCGGUGAUUCUGUCGGUGUUCUGGGAACGCGGGUCCCUAGACAUGCCUUCCUGUGGCCCACGGCAUGGCUUUGUUGGCAGGCCUAUACGGCCCAUCUUCAUCAACAGGGAAUCAAGACCCUCGCGAGAGGGGCCAAGCCUUGCGAGGCGGACGACACAAGAACUCCUCAGGAGCGGCCUUCCCAGGCUGGCUCGUGAGGGGGGGAGAGUUCAAGGUCGGGCAAAGCUCGCGAGGUUCUCUUGACGUGAGCCAUGAUGAUCGAGACCAGGCGGGCGCCAGCGUGCAGCGUCCUUGUUUCCUCUUUGGUGCUAAGGGGGCAUGUGCAGGCGCAGAGUACCGAGGCAUCAAGCAAAGGUUUCCAUAUUGGUGCACUGAGACCAAGCCCAGAAGGAUGGUAAGACAGAGGUCACCGUGGAGCCCGGGACGGCGUCACCACCAGAACCUUUGGCGGGAAAAGACCACUUUUUUAUCAGGAUAGCUUGUACUAGCUGUCCCCCUUCAAAUUGUCCGUUGUUGGCUCCCUUCCCGCUCAAUAUUUGGGGAGAGGACUAGGGCCUCUAUAAAUAGGACUAGUCGCCUCCAUAGGCGGGGAGAGGACAGAAGGAUCACGUUCAUCCUCAGCCACACAAGUGCACCAAGCACAAGAACGCCUCAACCUCAAGAGGAUGUUCUUCCCCUAGUACUGUUCGUCCUCAGACCAAGAGGCAAUCCACCACCACCACAAUGGAGUAGGGUAUUACACGACAACGGUGGCCCGAACUAGUAUAAAUCUUGUGUCCUUUGUGUUGUGAGUUGGUCGAGUUAGUUCAUGAGAUCUAGGCUAAGUUAGGACGCAGAUCGAUAGGGGGGGAGAUCUUCACGUGCACCCCAGUGUUCGAACCUUAAGGGUUUUGCCGAAACCCGUGAUCCGUCAUUUGGCGCGACAGGUAGGGGUGCUCCAAAGAUUCACUUCCGUCACUCCUCAUCACAUCGCUUCAUUGUCUCCAUGGCGGACGCAUGUCGCACCCGUGCCGAGCGCCGGGCUGCCCUCGCCACCCCCGUUGCUCAGACGGCCCCUGUCGGCGGGCCACCCUGUCGCUCUCCGUUGCCUGCCGCCAACGCCGCCUCCGGCCUGGCAGAGAAAGACCAGCAAGCAUCCUCGCUGAACCCCUCGGUGCGGCAGGACAGCCGCACCGCCACUCCUGCGUUGACUCCCGAUGGCUCGUCGUCUCAUGCUCGUUGCAUUCCCACGGACGCACGGACUGCGCUCCUCAUGGCGCACGAGGUCCUGCGCUACCGCCCAGUCGACGACCUCUACGAGGACUGGCUCGACCGCAUCGCCGAGCUUGUCCGCGCCGCAGGGGGAUCCCCUGUGCCAUGGCACUCUCUGCCUCGCCCUCCGCAAGGCACGGGCGACGCAGCUCAUGAAGCACCUCCACUACCUCUGCCCCAAUACGGCGCCAUAGCGCCAAGGCACGCGACUCCACGGUGCGACCCACUGCGUCCGCCGCCGCGCGCGUGAAGAAAGAAGCAGCCAAGAAGUCCCUCGACCAUAAGCGAACUGCGGCAAGGCACCGCGCCGCUGGCCGUAGCGGCACGCGGGUGCCAAGGCCAAGCUCCAUGUCCAAGGCAAGCCCCGGUGACCACGGUCGACUGCCGCUCCUUCACCACCGAGCUGCGUAGCGUCGCCUGGUCGGGCAAGUUCAAGCCAGAUCUGCCUCCUCGCUAUGACGGCACCCACAACCCCAUGGAGUUCCUGCAGCUAUACGAGCUGAGCAUCGAGGUGGCCAACGGCGAUGAGAAAUUCAUGGCGAACUGGUUUCCCAUGGCUCUCAAGGAUGGCCCCCGCUCCUGGCUCCUGAACCUUGCUCCAGGCUCAAUUUCCUCUUGGGACGAAAUGCGCAACCGCUUCAUCGCCAACUUCCAGGGCACUCGCGAGCACCCCCGUUCGCGGGAGUCCUGCGCUGCAUCAAGCAACAACCAAGAGAGACCCUGCAGAAGUACAAUUAGCGCUUCAACAGCGCAUGGAUCAAGAUCCCCAACGUGACCGACGAGGCCAUCAUCUCAGCGUUCUCCGACGGUGUCCGCGACGUCAAGAUGAAGGAGGAGCUCACCAUCCAUGAGGAGUUGUGCACAACCCUGGAGCUGUUAAACAUCGCGACCAAGUGUGCAAGAGCUGAGGAGGGGCGCCUCUCCCUCCUCGAGCUCCCUACUUCGGACCCAGAGGCCAAAGACGUGAAGUGCAAGGGAGCAGUCGUGCUCACGGUGGAGCUAGACACCAAGCGCGGCAGAGACCAACCCGAGUCAUCCAAGGGCAGCCGACUAUUCUGCGCCUUCCAUAACCUGCAUACCCACAACACCAGCGACUGUUAAGAGCUUAGAGCCAUUCGAGAAGGACGCUUUGGUCGAUGCCCCGAGCGCGGUGACUGGGGCUAUGGCCAAGGAGGAGGACGUGGUGGUGGAUGCUGGGACGACCGUGGCCCACGCUAGGAGUGGCCCGACCGGCCUCAUGAGGACCGCUGGCAGGAUCAGCCUCACGAGGGCGCCUGGAGUAACCAGCCUCGUGAGGGUUGUCCUCAAGGCAACGCAGGCCUUCCUCCACUACCGCGACCACCCAGAAGGAACGACGACCACCAUCAAGACGAGGGGGCUGGGGUCUUCCAGGAGCAACACGCUAUCACCUACAUCUUGGGCAGAGCUCAAGCCCCAACCUCGGAGCGUAUCUUCAAAUAAUUUGUCCGUGAAGUGAAUCCAGUUCUCCCCAAGCUCGAGGCCACACACCCGCUCAGAUGGUCCAGGUGCCCCAUCACGUUCAGUUUGGCAGAUCAGCUCAAGUGCGCGGCUACUGUAGGCGUCCUCCCAAUGCUCUGUUCGAUAGUCAUCAGCAACGUGCAAGUUACCAAAACCCUCAUCGACGGCGGUGCAGGGCUCAAUGUCCUAUCCAUGGACACGUUCGACAACCUCCAAGUGCCAUAUGACCAGUUUCAGCCUACCAAAUCCUUCUCAGGAUUGACCAACAGCUCUACUACACCAAUCGGGCAGGUCUGCCUCCCUGUUACCUUCGAAGAACGCAACAACUACCGCACCGAACUCAUCGACUUCGACGUCGCCUAUAUCCACCUGCCAUACAACGCCAUCCUCGGGUAUCCAGCCCUGGCCAAGUUCAUGGAGGUGACCCAUCACGGCUAAAAUGUGCUCAAGAUGCCGGGGAGCGGCGGAAUCAUCACAGUCUUGUUCGAAGAAAGAGACGCGGUGUGCUCCCUCGAGCGUGCCUCCCAAGCUGCAGCAAUCAACAACCCCGACAGUCAGGGCGAGCGCCCUCCUGAGGCCACCCCAAGAAGAAGAAGCAGCUGCGUCACGCAGGGCCUCAUGCAAGCGGCGCCUCGUUAGGAUCAGCGUCCGCGCCUGGGUUUUUCGAGCAUUGACCCUCUAUCAAGUGGGCGGCAUCUAGGAUGUCUCCAAAAUAACGCUCUGGUUCCGGACGGUCCUUGCCUUCAGGCGGACCCUUUUUUGUGACAUCGAUAGCCUUCAUCUUUCCCCAGAAUGUCUUGACUCGGGCAAGGGCCAUCCAUGCACCUUCAAUGCACGCUGAUCGCUUAGCAGCAUCGAUUCGCGGCAUCACAUCGACAAGCUUCUGCACCAAACCGAAAUAGCUACUCGGUGCAGGCUCGGUUCGCCACAGCCGAAUUAUAACAUCCUUCAUGGCAGCGCCAGAUACCCUAUGAAGUUCGACCCAUUGGGACAUCGGUUCAUUGAGCAGCUGCGGGCGCUUCGACGCACCGAAUUGUGACCAAAAAAGCUUCUCCGUUGCAUAUCUAGCUCGCGCUUGGUAAUAUCGCGCUGCAUCGGAAGAACUCUUCGGCAAGUCCAAAUACUUGUUCGGAGAACUCCACACUUGGUUCAACUGAGCAUAGUCCGGGUAGCCAGACUUAGUCUGCAGCAGAAAAGGCUUUCUAGUCACUAUCUCUUUCGCCUGCCGAACCUCCUCACAGAGUGCUCUGUGCUUUGAUCAUGCUUCUCUUGCCUCCUGUCGGGCCUUGUCCAGUUCAGCCGUUAAGGCUUCAUUCUCCUUAUCAAGAAAUUCACACCAGCCAGUAGCGUUCUCCAAAGCGAGUGUCAUCGUGGAUACCUUCUCCUCGCCCUGGCAUCGUGCAGCUUGUUCGGCCUUCUGUUCAACCGAUGCUCCUUCAGCAGCAGCAUCACUAAUCUAGGACCGCUCCUUGGCCCGUACUAGCUCUGCCCGAAGAGCCUCCACAGCGGCAACACCAUCUGCAUUUCAUGCACAUUUCAUAUAAAGCUCUUUCCCGCGCUAAGCACACUGGUGUAAAGAAUGCACCAAAUACAUACCUUGCGAGUCCUCAAGAUGAAAGUUGAUCAAUGCAAUGUCAUCCUCCGCAAUAUCCAGCUUUCGCUGAAGUUCAUCCACUUUCGUACUCCUGGUAGCCACGGGAGGGGAAACAACCUGCAUUUCAAAUUAAACCAAGGUUAAUACCUGAGCGUAUCUCUUGGAUCCUCCGAUCGCUUCCUUCGGAAGACAAUCCGACGGUCAGGGGCUACUACAUAUACAACAGGUGCAUUUUGUCAAUAAAAUUCAAUUGACAAAGCUACAUCACAAACCUCAUAACCUCUUAGAAAGCUCGUGAAGGCCUCGUUCAAUCCACUCUUCGCGGCUAGAACCCUUGUGACCACCGUAGCCAUAAAGGUACGGUGCUCUUCUGAAAUGGAUGCUCGUUGUAGCAAGCCCAUCGGCAUUUUCGGCACUCCUCGGUCUUCCGAACCGCCGCCGGAGUAUGGUAUUCCUGUGAAUGAACCCACUUACUUGGCUCCAGAAUCGUCUCCGGCUGUAAACCGGAUGGUUCGGGGACACUAGUCUUGAUCCUGGAACCCUGAGCGACGUUGACACCGCCUUCAGGUAACGCCUUCUUUGUUUCCUGUACUACUUGGUGUUUGGGAGGAGCCCUUCGGGACGAUACCUCGGUAUCAUUCCCCCAAUUGGGCGAUGAGGCCGGAGAAGGUGUGUCACUCUCCAUCAUCUCCGGAAGAAGAUCUCCCGAGAAGGAGGACUAUUGAGAAACAUCAGGCGUUAACCUGCGUGGACGAACAUAUAUCGGAUGAUUACUUCACUAAUAGGAAAAGAAUGAGGUGCAUUUAAAGUCCCCCAUCCUCGCUUACGGUCUUCCUCGAGGUUCGUCCUCAUCAUCAAGCUCUACGUCAGCCUCGCUCGCCCAGCCCAAGCCGCUCGACGACGACGUUUUCCUCUCUUGGAAGGCUUCCCCUCCUGAUCUUGGGAGGUGUCGGUGUCAAAACCGAGGGAUCUCGGGUAGGGUGUCAAAACAGGAGGCAGGGAACACGAUGUUUUACCCAGGUUCGGGCCCUCUCUAUGGAGGUAAAACCCUAACUCCUACUUGAUUAAUAUUGAUGAUAUGGGUAGUACAAGAGUAGAUCUACCACGAGAUCAAGGAGGAUAAACCCUAGAAGCUAGCCUACGGUAUGAUUGUUGUAUAUGGAGUUGAUUGUCUACGGACUACAACCCUCUGGUUUAUAUAGACACCGGAUAGGAUUAGGGUUACAUAGAGUCGGUUAUAAUGGUAGGAGAUCUUGAAUAUCCGCAUCGCCAAGCUUGCCUUCCACGCCAAGGAAAGUCCCAUCCGGACACGGGACGAAGUCUUCAAUCUUGUAUCUUCAUAGUCCUGGAGUCUGGCUAAAGGUAUAGUCCGGCUACCCGAACACCCCCUAAUCCAGGACUCCCUCAGUAGCCCCUGAACCAGGCUUCAAUGACGACGAGUCCGGCACGCAAGUUGUCUUCGGCAUUGCAAGGCGGGUUCCUCCUCCAAGUCCUUCAUAGAAGAUUGUAAACACCAAGAGUAGUGUCCGGCUCUGCAAAAUAAGCUUCCACAUAUUGCCAUAGAGAGAAUAAUAUUAACACAAAUCAAAUCUGCUGACGUAUUCCGCAGUGCGCCAUCACACUACGGCCAAGUCCUUUACUCAAAUCGUUUUUACUUUCCCACCAUAGCAUGUUUUGCGAGGCGGUUUCCUUGUCACGUCUGGUCAAAGCAGAGAUCGUGUACCCCCCUUUUACGGGAUUCUCAUCAAUACGGAUGUGGUAACCCAACCGCGCCACUUAUCACGGCGCAUGGGAGGCAAGCGAGUUUUACUAGGCUGGUGGAGACGCACAACCGCAUCCGCCCAUAUAAGGGAAUAAGGAUCCACCUUUUUACCUACGCCUUCUUCCUCCUUUGCCUACCCAUCUCCUGCGCACUCGAGCUCCAGCGCCCAAGCCCGCACUUCCCACCUCAACCUUCUCCAGCAAUGUCCGGAGCGGGAGGCAAGUGGCUGGUCUCCUCCGCCAUGGAGGGCCAAGUCAAGAAGCUAAGGAAGGCCGGAUACCUGUCCAAGGACAUCGCACACCGGCUUCCCGAAAAGGGGCAGCUUCUCCCCACCCCAAGGACCCAUGAGAGGGUAGUAUUUCUUCCCCACUUCCUCUGCGGACUGGGUUUUCCACUCCACCCAUUUGUCCGGGGGCUCAUGUUCUACUACGGCCUAGAUUUCCAUGAUCUGGCCCUGAACUUCAUCCUCAACAUCUCGGCGUUUAUCAUCGUGUGCGAGGCUUUUCUCUGUGUCCGCCCUCAUUUCGGCCUCUGGCUAAAGACCUUCAACGUCAAGCCCAAGGUGGAGCGCGGCAGCCAUGCGGAGUGCGGAGGCACCAUGGCGGGCAAGAUGGCCAACGUCCUAUGGUUCGAGGGCUCUUUUGUGGAGACCCUAAAGGGAUGGCAAUCCGGGUGGUUUUAUAUGACCGAGCCGUACGAUCCGAAAUGGACCGCAGCCCCCGAGUUCCGAUCCGAACCCGCCAUGCAGCUUAUGUCCUGGAAAGAGACGGGCCUGUCGUGGGGUGAUGAAAAAGAGGUGACCGGAUUGCAAACAUGCAUCCAGUCCCUGGUGAACAAGCCAGUCCGGCUUGUUAAUGUAAUCCAGGUUAUGCUCGUCCGCCGGAUCCUCCCGUGCCAACAACGGGAUUUUAAUCUGUGGGAGUUCGACCCGGCGCAACAUCAAACUCUCAGCAGGCUCUUCAACACGAUGUACGAAGACGCCUGGAAGAUGCUAUUCAAGGGCACCGAGGCUCCCGCAUCCGCUUCCGAGGACCGCGGAUACAGCUCGCAGCGUCACGCUAGCGAGGUAAGCCAUCUACACCUUUUACAGGAUGUUUAAGCUUUUUUCAUAGUUUGACUCUAUGUGGGAUCUAAACUCCCUUACCUUUGACAGGCUUGGCGGGCGAUAUCCGGACCGAUUAACUGUCCGGCUCCGCUGCCCGAAGACCCAGCCCCAGCUCUACUAGAGAAGCCGCUGGUUCCGGCACCUUAUGUGGUGCCAGAGAAGAAGGCCAAGAAGAACAAGACCACGGGGACUCGAAAGAGUGCCCGCAACGUGGUGGUGUCGGACUCGUCAUCUGACGAGUCCGAGAUGCCCUCAUCCCAUGAAAACGAGGAGGAGGGAGAAGAAAACUCUCCCCCCCAGCGGAGGGAGGAGAGAAGAGGAAGGCCGCCCCAACAGGGGAGGCCGAGGGGUCUAGGAAAAGGAAGACCCUGGGCCGGCGAAAUCGUAAGUUCGGAUAUCAGAGUAACUCAUGAUGUUCCUUUGUUGCACAGCUUUCCCUAAUGUCGAAUGUAAUUAUGUAGUCCGCCCUGGGCCGAAGUCGACGAAUCGUCGGGCGGCUCCCUGGACUCAUCGGACAUGAACUCAGUUCCGCCCGCUGUCUCCCCCCGCACUGCGGACGACACCGAAGUGGCGUCGCGACAAGCCCCGGGGCAGGAGGAGGUGGUCCCGGAAGAGCCGCAAGGCAACCUCCCGGACUCCAGGAGUGAAGGGGAUAAGGCUCCCCAGGGCUCCAAGUCCGGCUUUGAGCCGGACACUUCACCAAAAUCUACCACAGUUCCGGACCGCGGUAGGCGAACUCCUUCCAAGAGGAGUAAGCCUUCUGAGCCGGCAGCCUCCGUCCAACCGGAGGUGGCGGACAAUCUGCUGGAGGUGCUUGACGGCGCCUCCAUCGACGAGGAGCACUGUACCAUUAUGAGUACGGUGAUCUAGAAGGUUCAGUCCGCCAAGAGCGGACUGAGUGAAGCUUGCACUAGCCUUCUAAUAGGCUUCGAGGUAAGUAAAAAAUAUGUAAAAAUAUAACCGCAUAGACAGUAGCCCCUGAUGCUCUGUUUGGCAUUCGGAAAGAAAAGCCGAGUAGAUGAUCUAUUAAAUUUUGCAGGAGUCUAACAACAAAGAGUCAAUAUGCGUAUGUAGGCUUUGCUGCUAGCCAUCGCCGCACUGACUGCGGAGGUGGGUGCCCUAAAACAGGGCCUCGGUGGGACCGAGCAAGAGCUCGGCCUUGCCAAACGGCAGCUCAAGGAGAAAGAAGGUAAGAAAUACCUUACAGAAAAUGUGCCUAUAAAAAGACAUGUUUGCAAAAAACAACACGAUUGUACUGCUUAUUGUAGGGGCCACGACUGAGGUGGCGACCCUCAAGCAGGCGCUGUCCGAGGCCGAAAAGAAAACGGCCGCGGAGUGCAUCGAUCGAGGGAAACUUGAGGCCCAGGUCAGCGAGGUGCAGCAGGAGCUUCAGGCUCUCAUGAAAAAACAUGAGAGUUUGGAGCUUGAGUCCAAGACGCAAGUGUCCGAGCUCGCGGCGGCCCUUGAGACUGCCAAGUCUGCCAAGGACGAAGCUCAAAAGGCCCUCCAAGAGUUGGAGGAGAUGAAAAAGAUAGCGGCGGGUAAGGCAUUCUUUAUGCAAAGCAGAAGUAUAAAAGUAAAGUACUUGUUACUUACCCGAAUCCGGAGCUCUCUAGGGGCAUUCGCAGAUCUUCCCCGCAGCGUAUCCGACGCCGCCGCAUUCUACCAAGCCGAAGAGGGCAGCUCGACGGAGAAGGUGUUCUGGUCUCAGUAUGCUGAGGCUGGACACCCUGUGCCCUUGAGCAACCAGCUGAAACAGCUGGUCGAGCUCCAUAAGGCGGUCGAACAGGCGAUGAAGGGCUUCAUAGUUCGGCUGUGGCCCGGAGAGGCCCUGCCUGUGAGCUACUUCCGGCUGGUGCAGCAAUUGGUGGAGGCCUGUCCAAGGCUCAAGGUCAUCAAGCGCUCCGUCUGCAUCGAAGGUGCCCGUAGGGCCCUUGCCCGUGCAAAGGUGCACUUGGUUAAGCUGGACGGUGAGAAACUUGUGAGGGACGGGCCGCCGCCGGGGAAGGAGCAUCGCAAGCCCGAGAACUACUAUAAGGAUGUUCUUGCGGGUGCCCGCCUUGUGGCGGAUGAAUGUACCAAGGAUGUAAUUUUUGAAUGAACUUGCUCGUGUUUAUCCUGUGCGCUAAAAACUUGUUCAUAUGGCUAAGCAAUGCUUGUUGAAUUUAAAAUAUUACUUUUUGUGCGGCCGUUUAUCAAAAAAUUGAGAGAUGGCCAGUGGUCGGCUUCUGCCCCCAUGGCACUAGUGCCGGGGUGUUCGGGAUAAACCUGAGCGCUCUUUUUCCCAUAGUUGGGUCCUUCGAGGGAGGCGCUCAGCACAACGAACUAGGCAAUCAGACUAUAAUGCUUGAACACUCUCACUUAGCCAUAGAACUCUAUAAUUUUAAAUUUCGGCGAAGCCCCUAGUUCGGAAGACCGAGUUCGGGGCGCUAUCCACGCCUUGGCCGGACAAAGCCAGCUCUUCGCUCGAAGCGGCAUAAGCCUUUAGGGACUCGAAAAACCUCUCGAACAACGACCGGUCUCUCGCCACAUCAUGACCGUCAGUUUUAGCUUUCUCCACUGAGGUGCUUAACCCAGCUGAACCGGGGCACAAUCGCAGUGAUUCUCCUAGUGCUACCUUAGCCGAUAUAGCGGAACGUAAGGCACCAAAACAUAGGAGCCGGGCAAACCCAACUAUUGACCCAAAUCAUGAUUCGGAGCUGAUGCAUAUAGUGCUAUAAGUUCGGGUGCCGCACUUGUGAAAGUGUACGGACUUCUCACACCAUUAUGAGGGGUACUGGAGCCCCUGGCGUGUUGGCCCUACCAUGGUGUACGGGUGCAAUCAUGUCAUUUAAUAAACAUAUAUGUAAAAAGAAGGUAAUGCAAAAAAUAGACAGAAAGCUAUGCAUUGUUUAUAGAGAGGCUAUUUAUCAAAGCCGAACGAUACAAAUAGUGCGUUAAGCAAAAGAUAUUGGACUAUUUAGUAUGUCCUGACCAGGGGCAGGCCGCGGAAUUGUAUUUAAAACAGGUAUACCGCUCGUAAAAGAGACCACCUGGGAGUUCCAUAAUGCGGCAUGGCUUGUCUGCCUCCCUGGAUCUUGCAUCGUUUGUGUGGCAGUCGAAUUGCUGAACAGGUCGUCCGAAGUAUGGAGUCCUGAAAGUAAGAAAAAAGUAAAAAAGAAUCCGGCAGCCCCUAGUAUGUUUUAAGCCGUAUUUUGGGCGUGCCGUUACUGUGCCCCUUCCCCUGUGCCCAUGGUAUUUCAAGGGCGUAGUUAUGUACGCGAGGUACUGGUUUCGCUAUGUCGCGAGGGCUGGGGUUGGGGCCGCAUUGCUACGCUUGCUCAUAGUGUGCCAGGCGGUCCUGCUGUGGGUUACUCCGGAUGCGCUUGGCAGUGUCUGGCUUUUUAACGGCCGGACUGGAGAAUUGCCUAAGAAGGCUACUUUGUACUUCUGCUGCGAGAGCCGCCGUGUGCUCCUCCGUACGGAGGGAGCGUUCGGUGUUUCCGUUGACCGUGAUUACUCCUCGAGGGCCUGGCAUCUUGAGCUUCAGAUAUGCGUAGUGCGGCACCGCAUUGAACUUUGCGAAUGCGGUUCGUCCGAGCAGGGUGUGAUAGCCACUGCGAAACGGGACUAUAUCGAAGAUUAACUCUUCGCUUCGGAAAUUGUCCGGGGAUCCGAAGACCACGUAAAGUGUUACAGAGCCUGUAUAGUUGGCUUCUACACCUGGUAUAAUGCCUUUAAAGGUCAUUUUUGUGGGCUUAAUCCUUGAGGGAUCUAUGCCCAUUUUCCGCACUGUAUCCUGAUAAAGCAGGUUGAGGCUACUGCCGCCGUCCAUGAGGACUCUUGUGAGAUGAAAUUCGUCGAUGAUUGGGUCGAGAAUCAAUGCGGCGAAGCCGCCAUGACGGAUGCUACUGGGAUGGUCCCUUUGAUCAAAAGUGAUCGGGCAGGAGGACCAUGGGUUGAACUUUGGGGCGACUGGCUCCAUCGCGUAUACGUCCCGUAGCACACGCUUCCGCUCCCGCUUGGGAAUGUGGGUUGCGUAUAUCAUGUUCACCGUCCGCACUUGUGGGGAAAGCCCUUCUGUCCAUUGUUGUUCGGCGGCUUAGGCUCCUACUCGUCAUCGCUGUGCAGCCCCUUGUCUUUGUUUUCGACCCUUAACUUGCCUGCCUGCUUGAACACCCAACAAUCCCUGUUAGUGUGAUUGGCUGGCCUUUUGGGGGUGCCAUGUAUCUAGCACAAGUGAUCGAGUAUUCGGUCCAAACUGGACGGGCCCUGAGUAUUCUUUUUGAAUGGCUUUUUCCACUGACCGGAUUUAUAGCCUUUGAAUCCGGCAUUGACUACUGUGUCUUCAUUGCUACCGCUGCUAACGCGGCGUCUUUUUUUAUUCCAACGUGUCCUGCCACUUUUUUCCUUGGUAUCCGAAUUACCAGGGUUCUUUGAUAAGUUGUUGCUGCGAGCUAGCCAGCUGUCUUCUCCCGCGCCAAAGGGGGUCAUGAGUGUCGUGAGGGCUACCAUAGAUUUCGGUUUUUCCUGUCCCAGGUGCCGGGCAAGCCAUUCGUCGCGGAUGUUAUGCUUGAAGGCUGCUAGGGCCUCUGCAUCCGGACAGUCGACUAUCUGGUUUUUCUUUGUCCGGUGGGUGUCCGGUCUGCAUGUCAUGCGCUGGUGAUGUAGGUGCUUCCUCCUCUGAUCGGGGUAGCGGCCUGCGCUUUGGGUAACUCUUGGAGGGGCAUUGAAGUUCAUACUCUUCGCAUUGAAGUUCAUACUCUUCGGCCGCAAGGACUUCAGUCCAUCUGUCAGCUAGCAAAUCUUAGGCAGCUCUAAGCUGUUGCCAUUUUUUCUUGAGGCUGCUUUCCAUGGCUAAAAGCCUGCAUUUAAAACGCUGUUGCUCGGCGGGGUCUGAUGGUAUGACGAAUUCGUCGUCAUCGAGGCUUGCCUCAUCUUUGGAGGGAGGCAUAUAGUUAUCAUCCUCGACCUCUCGGUGUGCCACUCUCUCAUGAGGGCUGGCUUCUCCAUCUUCCUGUGCCGAAUCUUGCUGAGGUGGGUGUUCUUCGGUGCUAUCCGGGGUAGUAUUAUCUCCCGUGCCGGAAUCACCGUUUUUGCUUUGGCAGGAUUUAGAGCGGCCCCGCUGACGUCGGCGCUUUGGCUGUUUCUUGGGGGUGUCAUCCCCCACUGUUCCAUCGCCAUCUCCAUCUUUUGGAGUAUCCACCAUAUAUAUGUCAUAUGACGAGGUGGCCUUCCAGUGCCCUACAGGUGCUGGUUCCUGUUCGUCUCCUACAUCGUCGUCCAUACCGUCGAUGUCUUCGGAGCCGAAGUCAAGCAUGUCGGUUAAAUCGUCGAUAGUGGCUACAAAGUGGGUGGUGGGUGGGCUUUGAAUUUCUUCAGUGUCUGUAUCCCGCCCUCGCUAACCGUAGUCUGGCCAGGACUCUCCUGAUAAGGAGAGAGACUUGAGAGAAUUCAGGAUGUCACCAAAAGGCGAGUGCUGAAACAUGUUUGCGGCGGGGAACUCCAUUAUCGGCGCGCAAUCGGAUUCGAUUGGCAGGGGCGCGGGGGGUUCGGAGUCCGGGGAGGAGUCCGGAUCCUCGGAGUCACGGAUCAUGCAGAGUGCUGGGCUAGCAUUCGGCUCGAUCGCCUUUGAGAUCGCAGCCCCGAGGUGGCGUCCAACCGCUCGUCCUCAAUUGGCGCAAUAGGCUCUGAGUUAGAGGUCGGAACCGAUGCGUGUGCGGCCUCCAGGACACUGUCCGGAGGCAGAGCUAGAUCAUGUGACGCGCUUGGCCGUGGCUCGAACUUGUCGAAGAUCAAGUCUCUACGGAUGUCAGCCGUGUAGUUUAAGCUUCCAAACCUGACUUGAUGGCCAGGGGCGUAGCUUUCGAUCUGCUCCAAGUGGCCAGGAGAAUUGGCGCGCAGAGCGAAGCCGCCGAAGACAAAGAUCUGUCUGGGGAGAAAAGUCUCACCCUGGACCACAUCAUUGUUGAUGAUCAAAGGAGCCAUCGGGCCUAAAGGCGACGACACAGAGGAACUCUCAAUGAAAGCACAAAUGUCGGUGUCAAAACCGGCGGAUCUCGGGUAGGGGGUCCUGAACUGUGCGUCUAGGCCGGAUGGUAAUAGGUUCGGGCCUUCUCGAUGGAGGUAAAACCCUACGUCCUUCUUGAAUAUUAUUGAUGAUAUGGGUAGUACAAGAGUAGAUCUACGAUGAGAUCAAGGAGGCUAAACCCUAGAAGCUAGCCUACGGUAUGAUUGUUGUAUAUGGAGUUGAUUGUCUACGGACUACAACCCUCCGGUUUAUAUAGACACCGGAUAGGGUUAGGGUUACAUAGAGUCGGUUACAAUGGUAGGAGAUCUUGAAUAUCCGCAUCGCCAAGCUUGCCUUCCACGCCAAGGAAAGUCCCAUCCGGACACGGGACGAAGUCUUCAAUCUUAUAUCUUCAUAGUCCUGGAGUCCGGCUGAAGGUAUAGUCCGGCUACCCGAACACCCCCUAAUCAAGGACUCCCUCAGGGGGCGUCCCUCUUCUUGCCCUGGAGGCCUCCCUCCGCACUCUUACCCUUGGGCAAAAGAAUUUCAGUUUCCCCGAAGGCAGCCACCUGGUACGGUGUCGGGAUCAGCAUUCCCGUCAGUAGGGCAGUCGCAGGGACUUCCGGAAGAGGCGUCGGACACCAGAUUAGCACCGCUUUCUUUAUCCAGUCAUGUACAAGGACGGAUUGUUCUGUAUCUUGUUAAGAGAUGCCUGAAUGGAAGGUGCUUGGAUAUCGAGUACUUACCGAAGUGUUUGGAUGAUUGCUGUCAAGACCAACGUCUUCGGUGGUGUCCGGCCAUUGCUCUCGUUCCCCGAAAUAUAAUUUCCACAUUCCUUCAUGCGUAGUGCCUAAGAAGUGUUGUAUAGUCCGCCGCCCUUCUGGGUUAAACUCCCACAUAUGAAGAGGUCGCCGCUGACAUGGCAGGAUCCGGCGAACUAGCAUUACUUGAACAACAUUCACAAGAUCGAUGCCCUUCUCGGUAAGGCUUCGGAUGCGACUUUCCAGAGUCUGCACUUCAUCGACGGAUCCCCAGUCCAAUCCCUUAUUGACCCAUGAAGCGAGCUGAAUUGGAGGACGCAGGUGUAGCCGCCCACUUGGGGCCCCGUGGCUCGUUGAUAUAAAACCACCCCUGCUGCCAUAGGUCGGGAUAUUUGGCAAAAGAUCUUUCGGGCCAAACCGCACCGGCCAGCUUGCCUAUUAUGACGUUGUCGCACUCUUCCUCCUCCUCCUCUGCCAACUGCGUCCUCACACCAAAGGUCUUGAGCCACAAACCAAAGUGCGGAGGAGUCCGGAGUAAGGCCUCGCACAAGACGAUAAAUGUCGACAUGAGGAGAACAGAGUCCGGGGCCAGAUCGUGAAAAUCCAGCACAUAGUAGAACAUGAGCCCCUGGACGAAGGCGUUAAGCGCAGACCCUAGCCCGUGAAGGAAGUGGGAUACAAAUACUACCCUCUCACCAGAUAUGGGGGUCAGUAUGACUUGCCCUUGUGCCGGAAGCCGAUGAAAGAUUGCCGGGGUUAGAUACCUCGCUACGUGGAGCUUCGCAAUAUCCUCCUAUGUGACAGAAGAAGCCACCCACCGGCCCUGAUGGUUGGAUACGGACAUGACUAGGGUGUUGGGGAACGUAGCAGAAAUUCAAAAUUUUCCUACGUGUCACCAAGAUCUAUCUAUGGAGAGACUAGCAACAAGGGGAAGGAGAGUGCAUCUACAUACCCUUGUAGAUCGCUAAGCGGAAGCGUUCAAGUGAACGGGGUUGAUGGAGUCGUACUCGUCGUGAUUCAGAUCACCGAUGAUCCUAGUGCCGAACGGAUGGCACCUCCGCGUUCAACACACGUACAGCUCGACGAUGUCUCCCACGCCUUGAUCCAGCAAGGAGAGAGGGAGAGGUUGAGGAAGACUCCAUCCAGCAGCAGCACAACGGCGUGGUGAUGAUGGAGGAGUGUGGCAAUCCUGGAGGGCUUCGCCAAGCACCUACAGGAGAGGAGGAGGUGUCACGCGAGGGAGGGAGGCGCCAAGGGCUCAGGUAUAGAUGCCCUCCCUCCCCUCCACUAUAUAUAGGGGCAGGGGAGAGGGGGGAGGCACAUCCUUGCCCCUUCCUCCAAGGAAGGGGUGCGGCUAAGAGGGGGGGAGGAGUCCAUCCUCCCCAAGGCACCUCGGAGGUGCCUUCCCCCUUUAGGACUCUCCCCUUUUUCCUAUAUCUUGGCGCAUGGGCCUCUAGGGGCUGGUGCCCUUGGCCCAUGUAGGCCAAGGCGCACCCCCUACAGCCCAUGUGGCCCCCCGGGGCAGGUGGCCCCACCCGGUGGGCCCCCGGGACCCUUCCGGUGGUCCCGGUACAAUACCGAUGACCCCGAAACUUGUCCCGAUGGCCGAAACAGGACUUCCUAUAUAUAAAUCUUUACCUCCGGACCGUUCCGGAACUCCUCGUGACGUCCGGGAUCUCAUCCGGGACUCCGAACAACAUUUGGUAACCACAUACAAACUUCCUUUAUAACCCUAGCGUCAUCGAACCUUAAGUGUGUAGACCCUACGGGUUCGGGAGACAUGUAGUCAUAACCGAGAUGUUCUCCAGUCAAUAACCAACAGCGGGAUCUGGAUACCCAUGUUGGCUCCCACAUGUUCCACGAUGAUCUCAUCGGAUGAACCACGAUGUCAAGGACUCAAUCAAUCCCGUAUACAAUUCCCUUUGUCUAGCGGUAUGGUACUUGCCCGAGAUUCGAUCAUCGGUAUACCGAUACCUUGUUCAAUCUCGUUACCGGCAAGUCUCUUUACUCGUUCCAUAACACAUCAUCCCGUGAUCAACCCCUUGGUCACAUUGUGCACAUUAUGAUGAUGUCCUACCGAGUGGGCCCAGAGAUACCUCUCCGUUUACACGGAGGGACAAAAUCCCAAUCUCGAUUCGUGCCAACCCAACAGACACUUUCAGAGAUACCCGUAGUGUACCUUUAUAGCCACCCAGUUACGUUGUGACGUUUGGCACACCCAAAGCACUCCUACGGUAUCCGGGAGUUGCACAAUCUCAUGGUCUAAGGAAAUGAUACUUGACAUUAGAAAAGCUUUAGCAUACGAACUACAUGAUCUUGUGCUAGGCUUAGGAUUGGGUCUUGUCCAUCACAUCAUUCUCCUAAUGAUGUGAUCCCGUUAUCAACGACAUCCAAUGUCCAUGGUCAGGAAACCGUAACCAUCUAUUGAUUAACGAGCUAGUCAACUAGAGGCUUACUAGGGACAUGGUGUUGUCUAUGUAUCCACACAUGUAUCUGAGUUUCCUAUCAAUACAAUUCUAGCAUGGAUAAUAAACGAUUAUCAUGAACAAGGAAAUAUAAUAAUAAUCAAUUUAUUAUUGCCUCUAGGGCAUAUUUCCAACAGUCUCCCACUUGCACUAGAGUCAAUAAUCUAGUUCACAUCGAUAUGUGAUUAACACUCAAGGUCACAUCCCCAUGUGACUAACACCCAAAGAGUUUACUAGAUUCAAUAAUCUAGUUCACAUUUACCAUGUGAUUAUCACUCGAUGAGUUCUGGGUUUGAUCAUGUUAUGCUUGUGAGAGAGGUUAUAGUCAAUGGGUCUGAACCUUUCAGAUCCAUGUGUGCUUUACAAAUCUCUAUGUCAUCUCCUAGAUGCAGCUACCACGUUCUAUUUGGAGCUAUUCCAAAUAAUUGUUCUACUUGGAGCUGUUCUAAAUUGUUGCUCCAUUAUACGUAUCCGGUAUCUCUACUCAGAGCUAUCCAGAUAGGUGUUAAGCUUGCAUCGACGUAACCCUUUACGACGAACUCUUUUACCACCUCCAUAAUCGAGAAAAUUCCUUAGUCCACUAGUUACUAAGGAUAACUUUGACCGCUGUCCUGUGAGCCAUUCUUGGAUCACUCUUGUACCCCUUGACUGACUCAUGGCAAGGCACACUUCAGGUGCGGUACACAGCAUAGCAUACUGAAGAGCCUACGUCUUAAGCAUAGGGGACGACCUUCGUCCUUUCUCUCUAUUCUGCCGUGGUCAAGCUUUAAGUCUUAACUUUGUACCUUACAACUCAGGCAAGAACUCCUUCUUUGACUGGUCCAUCUUGAACACCUUCAAGAUCAUGUCAAGGUAUGUGCUCAUUUGAAAGUAUUAUUAAGCAUUUUGAUCUAUCCUUAUAGAUCUUGAUGCUCAAUGUUCAAGUAGCUUAAUCCAGGCUUUCCAUUGAAAAACACUUUCCAAAUAACCCUAUAUGCUUUCCAGAAAUUCUACGUCAUUUCUGAUCAUUAAUAUGUCAACAACAUAUACUCAUCAGAAAUUCUAUAGUGCUCCCACUCACUUCUUUGGAAAUACAAGUUUCUCAUAAACUUUGUAUACACCCAAAAUCUUUGAUCAUCAUCAAAGCAUACAUUCCAACUCCGAGAUGCUCACUCCAGUCCUCAGAAGGAUUGCUGGAGCUUUGCAUACUUAUUAGCAUAUUUCAGGAUAGACAAAACCUUCCGGUUGUAUCACAUACAACCUUUCCUCAAAAAUCGUCGAGGAAACAAUGUUUUGACAUCCUAUCUGCAAGAUUUCAUAAAUAAUGCAGUAAUUGCUAAUAUAAUUCCAACAGACUCUUAGCAUCGCUACGAGUGAGAAAGUCUCAUCGUAGUCAACUCCUUGAAGUUGUCGAAAAACAUCUUAACGACAAGUCGAGCUUUCUCAAUGGUGACACUUACCAUCAUUGUCUGUCUUCCUUUCAAAAUCCAUAUGUACCUAACAGCCUUAUGACCAUCAAGUAGUUCUUCCAAAGUCUACACUUUGUUUUCAUACAUGGAUCCUAUCUCGGAUUUCAUGGCUUCUAACCAUUUGUCGGAAUUUGGGCCCACCAUCGCUUCUCCAUAGCUCGUAGGUUCAUUGUUGUCUAGCAACAUGACCCUCAAGACAGGAUUACUGUACCACUCUGAAGUAGUACGUAUCCUUGUCACCCUACGAGGUUCGGUAGUGACUUGAUCCGAAACUUCAUGAUCACUAUCAUAAGCUUCCACUUCAAUUGGUGUAGGUGCCACAGGAACAACUUCCUGUGCCCUGCUACACACUUGUUGAAGUGACGGUUCAAUAACCUCAUCAAGUCUCCACCAUCCUCCCACUCAAUUCUUUCGAGAGAAACUUUUCCUCGAGAAAGGACCCGAUUCUAGAAACAAUCCCUUAUUGAUUUCGAAUCUGAUAUAGGAGGUAUACCCAACUGUUUUUGGGUGUCCUAUGAAGAUGCAUUUUAUCCGCUUUGGGUUCGAGCUUAUCAACCUGAAACUUUUUCACAUAAGCAUCGCAGCCCCAAACUUCUAAGAAAUGACAGCUUAGGUUUCUCUAAACCAUAAUUCAUACGGUGUCAUCUCAACGGAAUUACGUGGUGCCCUAUUUAAAGUGAAUGUGGUUGUCUCUAAUGCCUAACCCAUAAACUAUAGUGGUACUUCGAUAAGAGACAUCAUGGUAUGCAUCAUAUCCAAUAGGGUGCAGUUAUGAUGUUCGGACACACCAUCACACUAUGGUGUUCCAGGCUGUGUCAGUUGUGAAACAAUUUCCACAAUGUCUUAAUUCUGUGCCAAACUCGUGAUUCAGAUAUUCAUCUCUAUGAUCAUAUCAUAGAUCUUUUAUCCUCUUGUCAUGAGGAUCUUUCAACUUCACACUGAAAUUACUUGAACCUUUCAAUAAUUCAGACUCGUGAUUCAUCAAGUAAAUAUACUCAACAUCUACUCGAAUCAUCUGUGAAGUAAGAACAUAACGAUAUUCACUGCAUGCCUCAGCACUCAUUGGACUGCACACAUCAAAAUGUGUUACUUCCAACAAGUUGCUAUCUUGUUCCAUCUUACUGAAAACGAGGCUUUUCAGUCAUCUUGCCCAUGUGGUAUGAUUUGCAUGUCCCAAGUGAUUCAAAAUCAAGUGAGUCAAAACGGUCCAUUUGCAUGGAGUUUCUUCAUGCAUAUACACCAAUAGACAUGGUUCGCAUGUCUCAAACUUUUCAAAAACGAGUGAGCCCAAAGAUCCAUCAAUAUGGAGCUUCUUCAUGCGUUUUAUACCGAUAUGACUUACGUGGCAGUGCCACAAGUAGGUGGUACUAUCAUUACUAUCUUUUGGCAUGAACAUGUGUAUCACUACGAUCGAGAUUUAAUAAACCAUUCAUUUUAGGUGUAAGACCAUUGAAGGUAUUAUUCAAAUAAAUAGAGUAACCAUUAUUCUCCUUAAAUGAAUAACCGUAUUGCGAUAGACGUAAUCCAAUCAUGUCUAUGCUCAACGCAAACACCAAAUAACAAUUAUUUAGGUUUAACACCAAUCUUUUUGGUAGAGGGAGCGUGCGAUGCUUGAUCAUAUCAAGCUUGGAAAAACUUCCAACACAUAUCGUCAGCUCACCUUUAGCUAGUCUCCGUUUAUUCCGUAGCCUUUUGUUUCGAGUUACUAACACUUAGCAACCGAACCGGUAUCUAAUACCCUGGUGCUACUAGGAGUACUAGCAAAGUACACAUCAACACAAUGUAUAUCCAAUAUACUUCUAUCGACCUUGCCAGCCUUAUCAUCUACCAAGUAUCUAGGGUAAUUCUGCUCCAGUGGUUGUUCCCCUUAUUACAGAAGCACUUAGUCUCGGGUUUGGGUUUUACCUUGGGUUUCUUCACUAGAGCAGCAGCUGAUUUGCCGUUUCAUGAAGUAUCCCUUCUUGCCCUUGCCCUUCUUGAAACUAGUGGUUUCACCAACCAUCAACAAUUGAUGCUCCUUCUUGAUUUCUACUUUCGCGGUGUCAAACAUCGCGAAUACCUCAAGGAUCAUCAUAUCUAUCCCUGAUAUGUUAUAGUUCAUCACGAAGCUCUAACAGCUUGGUGGCAAUGACUUUGGAGAACCAUCACUGUCUUAUCUGGAAGAUCAACUCCCACUCGAUUCAAAUGAUUGUUGUACUCAGACAAUCUGAGCACAAGCUCAACAAUUGAGCUUUUCUCCUUAGUUUGCAAGUUAAGAAAGUCAUCGGAGGUCUUAUACCUCUUGACAUGGGCACGAGCCUGAAAUCCCAAUUUCAGCCCUCAAAACAUCUCAUAUGUUUCGCGACGUUUCAAAAACGUCUUUGGUGCCUCAACUCUAAACCAUUUAACUGAACUAUCACGUAGUUAUCAAAACGUGUAUGUCAGAUGUUCGCAACAACCACAUACAACGUUCGAGGUUCAGCACACUGAGCGGUGCAUUAAGGACAUAAGCCUUCUAUGAAGCAAUGAGGACAAUCCUCAGUUUACGGACCUAGUCCGCAUAAUUGCUACUAUCAACUUUCAACUAAUUUUUCUCUAGGAACAUAUCUAAACAGUAGAACUAUAGCGUGAGCUACGACAUAAUUUGCAAAAACCUUUUGACUAUGUUCAGGAUAAUUAAGUUCAUCUUAUGAACUCCCACUUAGAUAGACAUCCCUCUAGUCAUCUAAGUGAUUACAUGAUCCGAGUCAAACUAGGCCGUGUCCGAUCAUCACGUGAGACGGACUAGUCAUCAUCGGUGAACAUCUUCAUGUUGAUCGUAUCUUCUAUACGACUCAUGUUCGACCUUUCGGUCUCCGUGUUUCGAGGCCAUGUCUGUACAUGCUAGGCUCGUCAAGUUAACCCUAAGUGUUUCGCGUGUGUAAAUCUGUCUUACACCCGUUGUAUGUGAACGUUAGAAUCUAACACCCGAUCAUCACGUGGUGCUUCGAAACACGAACUGUCGCAACGGUGCACAGUUAGGGGAGAACACUUCUUGAAAUUGUUGUAAGGGAUCAUCUUAUUUACUACCGUCGUUCUAAGCAAAUAAGAUGUAUAAACAUGAUAAACAUCACAUGCAAUCAAAUAGUGACAUGAUAUGGCCAUCAUCACUUUGCUCCUUUUGAUCUCCAUCUUCGGGGCUCCAUGAUCAUCAUCGUCACCGGCAUGACACCAUGAUCUCCAUCAUCAUGAUCUCCAUCAUCGUGUCUUCAUGAAGUUGCCUCGCCAACUAUUACUUCUACUACUAUGGCUAACGGUUAGCAAUAAAGUAAAGUAAUUACAUGACGUUUAAGUUGACAUGCAGGUCACAAAUAAAUAAAGACAACUCCUAUGGCUCCUGCCGGUUGUCAUACUCAUCGACAUGCAAGUCGUGAUUCCUAUUACAAGAACAUGAUCAAUCUCAUACAUCACAUAUAUCAUUCAUCACAUCCUUUUUGGCCAUAUCACAUCACAUAGCAUACCCUGCAAAAACAAGUUAGACGUCCUCUAAUUGUUGUUUGCAUGUUUUACGUGGCUGCUAUGGGUUUCUAGCAAGAACAUUUCUUACCUACGCAUGAACCACAACGUGAUAUGCCAAUUGCUAUUUACCCUUCAUAAGGACCCUUUUCAUCGAAUCCGAUCCGACUAAAGUGGGAGAGACAGACACCCGCCAGCCACCUUAUGCAACUAGUGCAUGUUUGUCGGUGGAACCGGUCUGACGUAAGCGUACGUGUAAGGUUGGUCCGGGCCGCUUCAUCCCAUGAUGCCGCCGAAUCAAGAUAAGACUAGUAACGGCAAGCAUAUUGAACAAUAUCGAAGUCCACAACUACUUUGUGUUCUACUCGUGCAAAGAAUCUACGCAAUAGACCUAGCUCAUGAUGCCACUGUUGGGGAACGUAGCAGAAAUUCAAAAUUUUCCUACGCGUCACCAAGAUCUAUCUAUGGAGAAACCAGCAAGGAGUAGAAAGGAGAGUGCAUCUACAUACCCUUGUAGAUCGCUAAGCGGAAGCGUUCAAGUGAACGGGGUUCAUGGAGUCGUACUCGUCGUGAUUCAGAUCACCGAUGAUCCUAGUGCCGAACGGAUGGCACCUCCGCGUUCAACACACGUACAGCUCGACGAUGUCUCCCACGCCUUGAUCCAGCAAGGAGAGAGGGAGAGGUUGAGGAAGACUCCAUCCAGCAGCAGCACAACGGCGUGGUGGUGAUGGAGGAGCGUGGCAAUCCUGUAGGGCUUCGCCAAGCACCUACGGGAGAGGAGGAGGUGUCACGGGAGGGAGGGAGGCGCCAAGGGCUCAGGUAUAGAUGCCCUCCCUCCCCUCCACUAUAUAUAGGGGCAGGGGAGAGGGGGGAGGCGCAGCCUUGCCCCUUCCUCCAAGGAAGGGGUGCGGCUAAGAGGGGGGGAGGAGUCCAUCCUCCCCAAGGCACCUCGGAGGUGCCUUCCCCCUUUAGGACUCUCCCCUUUUUCCUAUAUCUUGGCGCAUGGGCCUCUAGGGGCUGGUGCCCUUGGCCCAUGUAGGCUAAGGCGCACCCCCUACAGCCCAUGUGGCCCCCCGGGGCAGGUGGCCCCACCCGGUGGGCCCCCGGGACCCUUCCGGUGGUCCCGGUACAAUACCGAUGACCCCGAAACUUGUCCCGAUGGCCGAAACAGGACUUCCUAUAUAUAAAUCUUUACCUCCGGACCAUUCCGGAACUCCUCGUGACAUCCGGAAUCUCAUCCGGGACUCCGAACAACAUUCGGUAACCACAUACAAACUUCCUUUAUAACCCUAGCGUCAUCGAACCUUAAGUGUGUAGACCCUACGGGUUCGGGAGACAUGUAGUCAUAACCGAGAUGUUCUCCGGUCGAUAACCAACAGCGGGAUCUGGAUACCCAUGUUGGCUCCCACAUGUUCCACGAUGAUCUCAUCGGAUGAACCACGAUGUCAAGGACUCAAUCAAUCCCGUAUACAAUUCCCUUUGUCUAGCGGUAUGGUACUUGCCCGAGAUUCGAUCGUCGGUAUACCGAUACCUUGUUCAAUCUCGUUACCGGCAAGUCUCUUUACUCGUUCCAUAACACAUCAUCCCGUGAUCAACCCCUUGGUCACAUUGUGCACAUUAUGAUGAUGUCCUACCGAGUGGGCCCAGAGAUACCUCUCCGUUUACACGGAGUGACAAAAUCCCAAUCUCGAUUCGUGCCAACCCAACAGACACUUUCAGAGAUACCCGUAGUGUACCUUUAUAGCCACCCAGUUACGUUGUGACGUUUGGCACACCCAAAGCACUCCUACGGUAUCCGGGAGUUGCACAAUCUCAUGGUCUAAGGAAAUGAUACUUGACAUUAGAAAAGCUUUAGCAUACGAACUACAUGAUCUUGUGCUAGGCUUAGGAUUGGGUCUUGUCCAUCACAUCAUUCUCCUAAUGAUGUGAUCCCGUUAUCAACGACAUCCAAUGUCCAUGGUCAGGAAACCGUAACCAUCUAUUGAUUAACGAGCUAGUCAACUAGAGGCUUACUAGGGACAUGGUGUUGUCUAUGUAUCCACACAUGUACCUGAGUUUCCUAUCAAUACAAUUCUAGCAUGGAUAAUAAACGAUUAUCAUGAACAAGGAAAUAUAAUAAUAAUCCAUUUAUUAUUGCCUCUAGGGCAUAUUUCCAACAUAGGGCUGGUGGCAAUUGGAACCCGAGGGUUGGAACUUGGGGUGGCCGGGGUUGAGGAAGGAGCAAGCGGAAGGGGAGAAGAUGAGGCUGGGUCUCUAUAUAAGCCCCGAAUACUGGGCGUCUCCCCCCGGGGUCUCUGAACUUACCUAUCACCAAGGAGUUGUACCCGGGGGCGGUUCGGUUACCCACACAUGCAUUAAUGAAAAUCCCAUAAAUAAAGGGACACGAUCUCUGCCUUGAUGAGACGUGCCAGUAAAACCGCGCCCCGAGACGUGGGGCGGCUCACUAGCCGACGGUUGGAAAUAGUAACCAGGCAGGCAUGAUACGACAUCAUGAACAUUUAUCAACAAGUUGGGCUCAUGGGAUAUUAUAGUCUCUGCAAUUAUAUACACAGGUCCGGAUAUACUUACUUCGUCCGAAGACUAUUCUGAAGGAGGGAACACGCCUUGCAAUGCCGAAGACAAAGCUGCGCGCCGGACUCCUCGUCAUUGAAGCCAGGUUCAGGGGCUACUGGGGGAGUCCUGGACUAAGGGGUCCUCGGGCAUCCGGCCUGUUAUUCACGGGCCGGACUGAUGGGCUGUGAAGAUCGAAGACCAUACUCGUGUCCGGAUUGGACUCUACUUGGCGUGGAAAGCAAGCUUGGCGACCAAAGAUUCCUUCUUAUGUAACCGACACCGUGUAAACCCUAGAUCCCCUAGGUGUCUAUAUAAACUGAAGGGGAUAGUCCGGAAAGAACAACACAUGUACUCAUUACCACAUCCAUAGGCUAGGCAUCUAGGGUUUAGCCAUUACGAUCUCGUGGUAGAUCAACUCUUGUAAUACUCAUAUUCAUCAAGAUCAAUCAAGCAAGAAGUAGGGUAUUACCUCCAUAGAGAGGGCCUGAACUUGCGUAAACAUCAUGUCCCCCGUCUCCUAUUACCAUCGAUCCUAGACGCAUAGUUCGGGAUCCCCUACCCGAGAUCCGCCAGUUUUGACACCGACAUCGCCUGCCUCCAUCGCAUAGGAAGGGGCGCCUAGCGCCCCUCUCGGAUAGGGCUCGAGGGCUCUCUUCUUUAGGGCCUCGGACCUUCCCAGCGUCACGAGAGAGGUGCUUGGACACCACUUGGAGGUGUGCUUUGCGGCACGUUUGCCUUAGGAAAACACAGGGCAAGGAGUUCCCACCGCUCAGGAGUUCAUUACCAAGACCACUCAGGACCUGCAAGACGCGAGGGCCAUGCGCGGCAGCCGCCGCUCACCAGGCGUAGCUCCCCAUCCAAGCAGGUAUGACGAGCUACGCAUUUCCAUCGAUGUCCCAGGGCUCAAUCGGGCCGCCUCUAAGGAGCUUCUCUAGCCUUCGCGCGUGGGAUGCUGCGAGGGCCCAACGCACAGCUACGUUCGCAUGCCCUUUGGCCUGCCAAGCGUGGCGGCCGCCUAUCAACGCAACCUGCGGAGCAUCCUAGCGGCUCAUGAGGCCAGGCACCAUGCGGUGCUGAGAAAGAUGAAGACGGUCCUCAAGGAACCCGCUGGAGCCCCAGAGCCUCCCGAGGCUCAGGGCGUCGGUGGCCCAUGAGGUGCAGCCCCCUCACCGCACGCCUUCAGCUACCUUAGCUCUCCUUUGUCAACAAAGACAAGCGACAUUUUCCAAAGUUCAUUCAGCUGGGUGUGCCCCUAGGGCUACAUCAUUCCCAUGCCGCGUGGGUCCGUCCUUGUGGCAUGUAUAUUUCCUUUUAUGUCUAUAGCUUAACCUGUUGGGGGCGCCCCUUGGGCUGCACCAUCCCCAAGCCGCUCGGGCCGGACUCAGUGGCAUGCAUCUUUCCUGCAUUUACCUAAGCUAGGUUGCUUUCCAUUCUUAAUCUAUCUAUGACUAUCGCCUGCUUGAUUUUCACCCACCGUGGGAGCCGCGCGCCGGCCAUCUUUCUUCAGAACCCCUCGCGUGAGUAAGUUAAGCAUGGCGUCUGUGCUCGGUCCCAUCCCUGCAGCGUCUAUAAAUCCAGUGGCUGAGCUUUGUCUGGCGGGUCGGCCCCCUUCACGUCACAUCCUGGGGCCGUUGGUUCUUGGCUUUUUCACGCGAUGAACUCAGGAGAUUUGUUUGGCGCAGGUUGUCUAACCACUUCGCAGGACCAAGACAACGAACAAGAAUCAAGACCAGGCGCAACCAACCUUGAGGUAGGGCCUCGUGAGUCCCGCACUGGCUCACGAGUGCCCAAAUACACCUCGUCUAGCCCUGUCGUGCAAGCCACGUAUCAGGGCGGGGCUGUACACGCCUCGGGGGCUCUCCACAUUAGGGAGUCUCCCUCCCACGCCCUAGUGGAAGCACCAUGCUCCGCGCUGGUCGUUGACACUGCCGAGGAGCAGCUAUGCCCGUGCACAAGAGGAAGCACUAUGCUCCGCGCUGGUGAAAAACAACUGAGGGCGGCCCCACGGCCGUACUAACCUCAGGGAGCCCUAGAGCUCAGGGUCCGGCCUCACCGCAAUGCCUCCCCUCUGGAGAGCCGCGCGAGGGGGCUGGGCACGGGGGCUGCGAUUGGGUCGCGCCCAUGCGUGCGCCACCCAACCAGGUCCCAUGGACCUGGUCGUCGCACGCCCCUCCCUAGCCGAGCCUCGGCGAGGGCAAAGGUAUGGAGAAUGUUUGCACGUCAAGGGGGACGCUUGAGCAUCGCGACUCAGGAGCCUAAAUGGUCACGUAGCCCCUUACUCCUUGGUCAAUCCUAGUUUCCGAUUGGCUCAACGGCGGUUGAGGUAUGCGCGGGGCCGGUGUCGGUGUCAAAACCGGCGGAUCUCGGGUAGGGGGUCCCGAACUGUGCGUCUAAGGCGGAUGGUAACAGGAGGCUUGGGACACGAUGUUUACCCAGGUUCGGGCCCUCUUGAUGGAGGUAAUACCCUAUGUCAUGCUUGAUUGUUCUUGAUGAUAUGAGUAAUACGAGAGUUGAUCUACCAUGAGAUCAUAGAGGCUAAACCCUAGAAGCUAGCCUAUGGUCUGAUUGUAGGUUGUCCUAUGGACUAAACCCUCCAGUUUAUAUAGACACCGGAGGGGGCUACGGUUACACAAAGUUGAUUACAAGGGAGGAGAUCUACAUAUCCGUAUUGCCUAGCUUGUCUUCCAUGCCAAGGAGAGUCCCAUCCGGACACGGGACGAAGUCUUCAAUCUUGUGUCUUCAUAGUCCAACAGUGCGGCUGUCCGGAGACCCCCUAAUCCAGGACUCCCUCAGUAGCCCCUGAACCAGGCUUCAGUGACGAUGAGUCCGGCGCACAGUUUUGUCUUCGGCAUUGCAAGGCGGGUUCCUCCUCCGAAUACUACAUAGAAGAUUUUGGACCCAAGGAUAGUGUCCGGCCCUGCAAAAUAAUUUCCACAUACCACUGUAGAGAGAAUAAUAUUUCCACAAAUCUAAUCUGCUGACGCGUCUUGAUAGCACGACAUUAUGUCAUGGCCCGGUCAUUAUUCGAACCGUUUUUCUCAACCAGCACCGCACAUAUCGCGAGGCAGUUUUCUUGACACGUCUUGUCAAAGCAGAGAUCGUGUUCUCCUUAUUAUGGGAUUCUCAUCAAUACGGACGUGGGUAACCCACAUGUGCACGUUGGUAUGACUCCUCGAUUUUAGGCAAGUCCAAAACGUCCGUGAUGAGGAUGCUUGCUAUUCACCCUCUUUAUAAAGAGGCCAAGACAUGCCCUUUUUUCCUCUCGUGCUCAAUCGAAUCCUUCCCCAGCCUCGAGUUCCAACACCCCAGGCUCAGGUCAGGCGCUUUGGACCUUCAACCAUGUUCGGCUCCAACCUUCAAGGUCAGUGGAUGCCUUCCUCUGUCAAAGAGGAGGACAUCAAGAAGCUGAGAGAGGCCAGAUAUCUGACCGCCAAAAUUUCGCAAAGGCUUCCCGCUCGAGGGUAGGUCAUCCCCACUCUCGAACCCAACGAGAGUGUUGUUUUCAUCUCUCACUUCCUCCGAGGGCUAGGCUUCGCUCUGGAUCCCUUUGUUAGGGGGAUCAUGUUCUAUUAUGGGCUGGAUUUCCAUGAUCUGGCCCCGAAUUGCCUCCUUCACAUCUUGUCGUUCAUCGUCGUAUGUGAGGCUUUCCUUCGCAUUACCACCCACUUCGGCCUGUGGCUCAAGACAUUCAAUGUGAAGCCGAAGAUGAUCGAGCGGCGGCACGCAGAGUGCGGAGGUGCCGUAAUAAGCAAAAGCACUGAUGCUUCAUGGCUAGAGGGUUCCUUCCCAGAGAUUUCCACUUUGUGACAGCGGGAGUGGUUUUAUAUCACAGCUCCCCGGAGUGCCAAGUGGGUAGCCGCCCCUGCCUUUCGCUCGGGUCCCCCACCACAACUGACGCCAUGGAUCAGCGAGGGGCUAAACUGGGGUUCAGUAAAGGAAGCACCAAUAUUGAAGAGUCGCAUCUGAGAUCUCGAUGAGAGAGACGUCAACCUGGUCACGGUGAUGCAGGUCAUGCUAGUUCGCCAGGUCUUGCCUUGCAAACGUAGACCUCUCCAUUUGUGGGAGUUCAACCCGGAGGGACCGCAAAUCAUGCAGCACUUCCUCGGCAUGACUAUCGAGGACAUGUACAAGUUGAUCUUCGGACCACAAAUAAAGUGUCCGGACACCACCGAAGAUGCGGGUCUGAGCUGUAAUCGCCCGGAUACCCAAGUAAGUAAUUCCAUGGCCGAACACGCUAUUUGUCUUAUUUAUCAUAACAUCAUAACAUCAUUCCAUGGCGAAGAUGAUUAGGUGUCCGGCCCCCCUUCCCGAGGGCUUGGCCCAUCUAGUACUAGAGAGAAUGCUGGAGCCGGCGCCUUAUCAAGUGCCCUCGAAGGAAGAUAAAGGGGGGAAUAAAGAGGCCGAAAGAGAGCCUCACUCACUACUCGUCCCAACCGGGGGAAUGAGCGCCUCCGCGAAGGAGGAUAACCAGGGAGAAGAAUUUGACAUUCCCUCUCCCCGACGAAGGAAGAGGGCCACCUCUGAAGAUCCGGAAACAGAGGUUUCCAAAUGAGGGAAGAAAUUUUCGCCAGAGAGUCCUGCACCGGGGGGUACCCUUGCCGCAGAGUGUCCGCAAGGGAAUCAGCCAUCUACCGAGUUGUAAGUAAUCAAAAAGUACUUAGUAGUGAAAAUGUCCUACCUUACUUCUGAAGACAAUAACCAAAGCUUAUAUCUUGUAGUUCGGAUCGUAGCUGACGGUGUCCUGGACUAGGGGUACUCACCACGUCGUCUCCCGAUCUAUUAGAUUGGGCUGAGGACCCCCGUGGCCGUAUACUCAUGGGCCAGUUCGGACGGCUGCCGCAUACAAGGAAGAUUCCACAAGACUUGGCGAUCAAGACAAGGAUUUCUCCCCACCAGCGUAUUCGGCUAGGACUCUUGUUAUCGUAGGCCUCCGGUGCAUUAUAUAAACCGAGGCCAGGCUUUUUAGGCUUUUUAAUCUUAAUUAUGUAUCUGCAUAUUUGUUUUGAGUCCUACUUGUAACUUAGAUGUCUAGGGAGUAGCGAGUCCGGCGAAGCUUCAACAAAGAUGUAUGGAGAAGGCGAGAUGCCAGACCGCCGUGAUUAUAUUUGGUUAGGGCGUGCGUGAGCCAGCCUGGUGUAUAUAUAUGUGUUGAUCAGAUGAAUGAAAAUUAGGCCGUGAGGGCUGUAGGAGAAAUGUAGUCUUUGUGUGCACCAAGGAAGAGUGUUCUUGUCAAAAAAAAUGUUGGAGCUGAAUCGCUCAGCCCCUUCUUCUUCCUCUCUUCAAAUGUUGGCGCUGCCUCUCGCAGCAGCCUUCUUCUUCCUCUAGAUUGCUUCUCACAACACACUCUUUCAAACUCACACGCACACACACUAGCCAAAGAAAAGAACAAAAGCUUCGCUGAGACUCUCUCCUUUGGCAGCCACAAGUGCUAAAUUUUCUCUCUUCUCUUUUUUCAAUUCAACCAAAUGGGAUUACACUGCUUAAAUAGACUCACACACCUACUGCCCAGCAGCCACUCUCGGCCACUAACAUCACGUACCGACUAAUCUCUAACAAACUGACCCACUCACGCCAGUUCACAUGCACCCAUCUAAUCUUAUCUUGACCACUUCUUCCUCCUAGAAUCACUCUAGGCACAUGACCCUCACGCAGCUAACAAACUAACUGACUCACUCAGCUUGGCUAGACAAGAUUAAUCCUAACAUUCACCUCCCUAAUCUUGUCAUGUCAACUCCUCUAAUGUUGAUGCAGAUUACCUGCAACCUCUUUCCAUGAACUUUGCCUUUGCAGCACCGAGAUCACACAUGACAUCUUGCUGUGGAUGACGCUGUCAUAGCGCCUGUCACCGCCUCAUGGAUCUCCACUUGCACCAGCAUCGCACCUGGUCACGUACGUCUUGCCGCCGCCAUUGCAGCGACUCAUCUUGGGGAUGCCAUCACACCACCGAGGAUAACUUCAUGACGAUGAUGGCGUCACACCACCAUCGACUAGCUUUGCGCUGAUCCUCAUGACGACCUCGCGCCGCCGUACAUCUUCUCAGCAGCAUCUCACUGCCGUCUUCUUGGAACAGCAUCUCACCGUCGUCUUCUUGUGGCAGCAUUACACUGCCAUUACUAGCGCCCGACGGCAUCGCGCCGCCGCCGCACCGAGCUGCAUCGCACCGUCUCCUUCCUCUGGUGGUAUCACACCGCCGUCUCCUCCUCCUAGCGGCCUCGCACCGCAACUAGCCUCCGAGGACAUCAUGCCGCCGACAGCCUCCACCUCUCGCCGUCGUCCUCCACCUCACGUGGAGUCCGCCGCAUGCAUGCUAUCACACCGACCAUGGCCGCCACUCCAUAGCUGCCGUGCCAUGACCGCUGCGGCCUCCAUGCCGCCGUACAACACUGCCGCGUACCUCCAUAGGCCGACACACGGCCCGGAGCUUCAUCGCGCGCCACCGACGAACGCCGCCAUCGCCGGUACACCUCCGGCAAGAGCAACGAUGCCCCAAGACAACCAAGCUAAUGAUACCAAUUGUUGGAGCUGAAUCGCUCAGCCCCUUCUUCUUCCUCUCUUCAAAUGUUGGCGCUGCCUCUCAUAGCAGCCUUCUUCUUCCUCUAGAUUGCUUCUCACAACACACUCUUUCAGACUCACACGCACACACACUAGCCAAAGAAAAGAACAAAAGCUUCACUGAGACUCUCUCCUUUGGCAGCCACAAGUGCUACAUUUUCUCUCUUCUCUUUUUUAAUUCAACCAAACGGGAUUACACUGCUUAAAUAGACUCACACACGUACUGCCCAGCAGCCACUCUCGGCCACUAACAUCACAUACCGACUAAUCUCUAACAAACUGACCCACUCACGCCAGUUCACAUGCACCCAUCUAAUCUUAUCUUGACCACUUCUUCCUCCUAGAAUCACUCUAGGCACAUGACCCUCACGCAGCUAACAAACUAACUGACUCUCUCAGCU